CCCCCAGGAAGCCUACCUUGACCGUGUUAGCCCAUUGAGCUCUCACCUGCCUUUCUCUUUGUAUUACCUAUUCCACUGAUUUGCCCCUGAGCACGGACAGCCCUGGCGUUUAUGCGGACAUCUGCCUUGUUGUCUCAGGUAGAUGAUGGGCUCCACGGGAACAGAGCAAACGUUCGCUCCUGCUCCUACACGGUGUUUCCUCUAAACCUGAGGCUCAGCCGACUUGUCAUCACUUAAAACCCAAUUCAGAGCGGGGGGGCACUGCCAGUGAAUAGUUCAUCACCGACUCAGUUUCCCCAUGUGUAUGCUGUGGUAUUGGAUCAGCAACGAGAUAAGAAGAUCUCUCCCAUUUCCAAGCGUCUAUGAUGAUUCUGAGGCACAAGGUCACAUUUGACAGUACUAGGAAACCCAGGAAACAAGAAGCAAAGAUGACAAAGGCUGUGUCUGCCUGGGCAGACGAUCUAUUUGGACAAGAUAAUAGACCCAGGCAUGGACAUGCUCUCCAAGAAAGAUGCCCUGACAGCUGCUCACACUGAAGCUGAAUCGAACAUUCCAAUCCUUAGAGGUUCCAGCGAAGAUCUUGAAGUCUCCCUGAGCCAUUGACACAAUGGCCAUGCCAUCCCAGUGAUAAAACACAAAUUGUGGCCUUGUUUUGGACAGAAAUAAAGAGCCCAGUUUGUUAGUGAUUUACUGAUAAUAACUGAAUCGAGUACUAAUACUUGGCGAUUUUAAAAGCCAUCAUGUUAAAAAGACCACCUGAUUCCCAGUGACCCUGCAGUGACUGGGUUUGGGCAGCUCGUCCCCUGCACCUGUUUGGGGCUGUGCCAGCCACUUCCAGUGAGAACAU
rnacentral:lncRNA from 1 species